UUCCUACGGGGGGCAGCAGUGAGGAAUAUUGGUCAAUGGCCGGAAGGCUGAACCAGCCAAGCCGCGUGAAGGACGAAGGUGCCAAGCAUUGUAAACUUCUUUUGUCAAGGGACAAAAUCAGGCUCGAGAGCCUGACCGAGGGUACUUGAAGAAAAAGCAUCGGCUAACUCCGUGCCAGCAGCCGCGGUAAUACGGAGGAUGCGAGCGUUAUCCGGAUUUAUUGGGUUUAAAGGGUGCGUAGGCGGUUUUUUAAGUUAGUGGUUAAACGUCGGGGCUUCACCUUGCAUUGCCAUUAAUA
rnacentral:rRNA from 1 species